rnacentral:misc_RNA from 1 species
GAUGAAGAACGUAGCGAAAUGCGAUAAGUAAUGUGAAUUGCAGAAUUCAGUGAAUCAUCGAAUCUUUGAACGCACCUUGCGCCCUUUGGCUAUUCCGAAGGGCAUGCCUGUUUGAGUAUCAUGAACACCUCAACUCUCAUGGCUUGCCAUGAUGAGCUUGGACUUUUGGGGGUCUUGCUGGCCUGUGGUCAGCUCCUCUCAAAUGAAUUAGCCUGCCAGUGUUUGGUGGCAUCACAGGUGUGAUAACUAUCUACGCUUGUGGUUUUCCACCAGGUAACCUUCAGUGAUGAAGGUUCGCUGGGCUCAUAAACGUCUCUCCUCAGUGAGGACAGCUCUUUGAACGUUUGAUCUCAAAUCAGGUAGGACUACCCGCUGAACUUAAGCAUAUCAAUAAGCGGAGGA